GUUUGGAUAGCUCAGGUGGUUAGAGCAAAGGACUGAAAAUCCUUGUGUCAGUGGUUCAAAUCCACUUCUAAACACAAUUAAACA
rnacentral:tRNA from 1 species